CGAAGUUCGGUAAUUCAUUAAGUAUACUAUGGGAUCAUGUUAUGUCUUACAGAAUGGUAAGGUGUGACAAAAUAUUUCUAUAUACACCUAUCAUCACUUUAAGCAGUAUUUUGAUCAAAGGUCAUCAAGAAUCUCUGCAUGCUCAAUUGGUGUCGCUUCGCUACAAAAUACUUCAUCCCAUAUCUUGACAAUAUCUGCUCAGAAGGUAAUCAAAUCAGGAUGCUUCAAUAUCCAAUGCUGAACUUACAAGGCACAAAUAUACAACUAAUCCCCAAUAUUGAGCUAACUGUGCAUGUAUGCAUGGAAAGUGCAUGGACACAAAUAAAUGGACAGAAAAUAUUGACAAGGAUCUGUGGAGAAAUGGAAACACCAAAAAAUGCCAUCUCAAAGUGCACUCCCACAUACACCACGAAGCUAUGUAAAGUUGUAAACACUAAAUAAGCAAGUUCAUGUUAGAAAGCCAAACAGAAGGUUAAGAAAUAAUUUUCUGUCAGCAUAUAAUAAGACAUACCACCCUUAUCUGCAGCUGAAAGAUACAUGAUAAGCAUGUCGAAUUUCCUACAUGCUUGACAGCCAAAUUCAUAUAAUCCCUGCCAAAGGAUUAAAACCAAAGAGAAUUCAGACUUCAACAAGCUUAAACAGAAUGCCCAUUUAUCCCAACAUCAACAACAGGAAAAUCUACUUAAAUGAAAAAAGUGGCAACACACUUAAUGAUAUCAAUUAGCAUGGGGGCAUACAACGCAUUUUUGGAUAUCUGUGGUAAUGCACUUGGAGAUGUGGCCUUUUGAUCACUUCAGCCUCUGCCCUCUGGAAACCAUCCAAAAUAUAAGUAUAGUCAGGCCAAGAUCAUGCAAUGACUGUGCUUGUCAGCUGCAGGAUGUCUGUCAAAAGAAGGGGCCAGAUUUUGUAUUGUUGAUUGUCCUUCAAGAGGCGAGUCUGCAAUGCACGAUCACCAGAAAAACCUCGCCAAGCAACCUCAAAUUGAUAAGCUGAAUUUGGAGGGGUGAUGUUUUUUGCUGCUUCAGCCGUGGCACGAGAAGCUGCUCGAGAAGCAAGCUCUUCUACUGAAGCCUUGAGCUUUUGCUUUUCCAUUUUGUGAUGAUAUCUCUGCAAAAGCUUAACUGAUAAAGUGAGUGCGGGACAAAUCAAUUGAUUUAAGGUAGGCAUACUCUUUUCUUUGUCCCUAUCCCCAGUUUUCACCCUAUUAAUAGUGAUUACUCCUAAUCUGAAAAGAAAAUAAAGCGCAGGUGCAAAUGCAAUGAUAUGAAGGUGAAAUACUUGCAAUGAGGACAAACAUAACCAUUGUCUGACCUUUUGCUUUAUCAAGCACUAAAAGAAAAAACACCACAAUGGAGGGAAGUCAAUAUUUGCAGGAUCUACUUGAGAAAAACACUUACAGAUGACAAUCUCAUUAGGUACUCAAGACAAAAGCUCGUAUCCCUCAGGAAAAAGAUAAAAAUGUAGAUAAUACUUAAGCAAGGAUACCAUGCAUUACCUGGACACUGUCCAUAUGAGAAUUUGAAGUAGCAUUGGUAUAAGAAACAUUGGCUUGAUUUUCAGUUCUGCUUCCGGCUCUUGAGCUUUUGUUUUUUAUUUCCUCCACUGAUGAGGACUUCUUAAGGAUAACCUCUCCAACACUUUCCUUAUUCUUGUCCUUUUGACAUGUAGAUACACCAGUUCUUUGACUUCCACUUGAGACAGAAUUGACAUCAUGUCCAUUAAUUUUUGCCUCCAAAAUUCCUCCUUUCUGUGUUCCAUGCUCAGAGCUUCUUACUGCCCCAGAUACCUUAUGGAGAAUCUCCUUCUCAUACAAUGAUUUGACAUCAGUAUACAGCUUCUUGAUUUCCUGGUUAUUAGGUUCCAACCUCAAGGCAAACUCUGAAUCCUCAAUGGACUCUUUAAAUCUUCCCAAUUCCUUUCUAGCUGUUGCUCGGCGUGAGUAUGCCUUUAUGUAGCGAUCAUCCAGAUUUAAAGCCUCUGUACAGUCAUUCUCAGCUUCUUGAAAUUUUCUGAUUUUAAGAUAGGCCAUUGCCCUAUUUGCAUAGGCUACUGCUGUGGGAGACAAGGCUAUGCUUCUCGAAUAGCAUUCAAUAGCUUCCUUAAACUUUUUCUGCUUAAAGUACUCAUUACCCAAUUCUUUCUCUGAAGCAGCAUCCACAGAGCUUUCUUCAGUCAUGAAACUACUUGAUAUACGAUCAAUAGCAUCAAAGUUCCUUGAAUAAUCAUGUUGUCCUGAACUACCUCUUGAAGAAUCAACUGCAUAAGUGUUUCCUGCUGAUCUUCUACCCUCACCAGUCUUCUUGUCAGAAGCUGGUGGCUUCAUCUUUUUAUCCCUAUCCUUGAGCGAAAGUUCCCAAUCCUGCAAGUCAUUCAAAAACCCCUGGAAAUCCUGGAAACGGGUAAACCAUGAACAACUGACGACAGCAAUUAAGCCAAUAGGAACACCAAUCUCAAAAAAACUACUGAACCCACUAAAACUCUAAACUUAAAACCCACAAAUGCUGAUACAAUAGCUCGUUUCACAUGUAAAGGACUCAAAAAAGAUUAAGCCUUUGUCCUCCUCGGAUGAGAAAAUUUUCGUUUCCUUUCCUAUUUUGCUCUUUCAUCAGCAACCAAACAGAGCUUAAAGUAAAAUGGAACUAAACGAAAUUAACGUACCAGAGCUUGAUCACGUCCAUGCUUGCUCGGAACCCUAGCCAUGGGUGAGAAAGGGAGAGAAAGAGAGUUGCGUCCCCAGCUGCCGGUGAGCGCGUUGUUUUUAGGUGUU
rnacentral:misc_RNA from 1 species